GAACCACAACUGGAAGCUGGUUCCACAGGAGAGGAGCUUGGUAACUGAAGGCUCUGGCUCCUGUUCUACUUUUAGAGACUAUAGGAACCACAAGUAGCCCAGCAUUCAGAGAACGUAGUGUUCUAGAGGGGUAAUAGGGUACUAUGAGCUCUUUAAGAUAUGAAGGGGCCUGACCAUGAAGAGCUUUAUAGGUGAGGAGGAGGAUUUUAAAUUCUAUUCUACAUUUUACAGGGAGCCAGUGCAGAGAAGCUAGUACAGGAGAGAUGUUAUCUCUUUUUCUAGUUCCUGUCAGUACUCGUGCUGCAGCGUUCUGAAUUAAUUGGAGCGUUUUAAUGGACUUAUUGGGGCAACCUGAUAAUAAAGAGUUGCAGUAAUCCAGCCUUGAAGUAACAAAUGCAUGGAUUAGUUUUUCUGCAUCUGUAAUUUAUGUUGGCUACUGAUAGUUUAAACAUGCAGCUCCCUCAUUUAAUACAGUUUGUGGGCUUUUCUUUGUUGUGUUUUUCCCCACACCAUUUUAGUUGUUGACUCCAUUACUACACUAAGAGCAUAUGACAGGUUAAUAUCACACCCGUUCACCCGUUCUUCUUCGUCUUUCAGUUCCUGUCCUCAGAGACCGAUCAGGAGAAACCAGACUUGCAGUUUCAAGGCCUUUCAUCACAAUCGCUGAUGUCACACAGUUCGGGGUGCUGCUCAGGUGUGACGUGCAAGAUGCUAAAUUACUGCCAAAGCUCCAAUGGCAGGACAGUGACGGAAACAUCCUUCCUGCUGAGGAGACUCAAGCCUCAGAGAGAGGAGGCCGCUCUGACAUCACCCUCCAAACUACUGUGAGCAAGACCAAAACCAACCGCUUCCACUGCGUAGCCACACAGGAGGAGAUCGGCCAUGUGAUUGACCGUAACAUCACUGUGUCAGGUGAGUUUUCUCUCUCAGUGUUUUUAGUCUGCAAAUACUUUCAGUUGUUCAAGUAUUUCAGGACCACCACCUUCUUUAGUGUAGGUUAUAACCUUUGUGCUAUACAUGAUGAACACAUUCACACCGGGGUUUUGUGUUUCAGAGAAACUGUUUGAGGACAAAUGCAGCGCAGUGGACAUCACAGGAUGGUUAGGUGGAUUCUUUUUGGGAGUUUCAUCUCUUGCUGCAUCUCUUGUAGCUGUAAAACACAUAAAGAAACGCUGCAAAAAAGGUGAGUUUAUAUAAUGGAUUUUAUCAACAUAUCAAUAAUAGACUUUAUUUAGAGACCUCUGAUUCUCAUUAUGUAAGUUUAUUAUAGCAAGUUGUAAAUACAUUAUCAUAACUGACUGAAUAUACAUUUUAAUUUCCCACCUUUCAGUCUCUUUAACCAAAACAUCAGCAGCUUCCAUGUUUUUCCAUUUGAAAGCCCCCUCUGAUACAUUUCAUUUAAAUAAGCAACAAAGAGCUUUUCUCUACAUGCAUAAUGUAAGCACAUUUGUAUGAAGGAAAUGAUGGUUUAUUAUCUCCAGAAGUGGAUUUGUAAAGACUAACUGACUGGUAUUGUUUGGAAAUGGUUGGAUGUCACCUGCUUUGUGACCAAAAUAUUCACAAAUAGCAGAACAUGGUCAGUAGAGGUGGAAACUGACAUCAUCACACAGUGUUAAAGUGAUAGAGUGAAUUCAGCUUUAGGAUGUACAGUGUGUUUGGUGGUCGACCUCAGGGUAACACUGAGCACUGGAAGUCUUCUGUAAUGCACAAAUGAAUCCAUGAGUGAAUUCAUGAGUCACUGAAACCAACUUAUCCACUGUUAACUGUUUGAAAACAGGAUACAAGCAUUAAAGUUAUUUGGUAGGCGGCAGAUCUAUCUGGGUGGGCCACCAAAAUCAUUUCUGUAUGAUAUAAUAGUUGACAUAAUGUAAUAUGUACUUUUUUCCUUUUUGCAGGUUCAGUGAUAUAACUUCAUCCACUGCUUGAUGGCUUUACCUUUGUUAACGUGUGUGUGUGUGUGUGUGUGUGUGUGUGUGUGUGUGUGUGUGUGUGUCUACAACAAUGUGACAACAUUACAUCACAUUGAUUUAGGUGAUGAUAUUAUCUAGUGAUUGGCAAAUAUUUGCCUUGUUGAUUGACGUCAGCAAAUUAGACAGCGUUCACCGAUAUCAGUGGCCAGUGUUUAUCUGUUGCAUUCAUUUAGCAGGAGUUGGUCCCACGUUAGUUGUGUAAGGCUUUAGUAAACCAAAGAAUAUUUUGUUACUACCUAUUCUUCAACCAAUCGAUUGGUCAAUAGGGGGGAAAUCUAGGUUAACUAAAUCUACCACAGUGCACUGAGUAGCUGCUGGGUGCUAAUCACAGAUACAGCCAUUUCUUUUUCACAAGUAUCUGUUACCUUCAGGACAUAUCAAGUAUGUUUACAGCAGCGACACACGCAUGUACACAUACCAGCGAGGAUCACGCAGCAAAGUGAGUUUUCGUGCAGCAACAAAGCUAACGCAGUGUGAAGCCAUGCAGCAGGUCAGAUCUGUACAUUUCACUGCAUCUUAAAAAAAUAAUUGCGACACAUGUUUCAAUGUUUGGAGCCAUUUUUAGGCAGAAAGUGAAUAUUACAAAAGUAGUUUGAAUUUCUUUUGUAUAAUAGGUCAUCCAUUAAUUCCUGAUUAUGGACACCUCGUAGGGCAUUAACCAGUUAUUUCACACCCUCAUUAGAACGCCCCAACGGGCAAAACAAGGCUUUCUUCUGCUGCCCAUAGCUAACUUAGCAGUAGUGAUUGUUGACACAGACCUAGUUUAUAAAUGCUCUACAACUUUUUUCACGGGGUACAUUAAUUAAUUAUUUGUUUUAUUCAUUUGCACAGACAGUUGUUUUGGCUCUCUACCGCUGUCUCUCCUCUGUGAGUUUCACGGUGCUGCUCAGACUGGAGGGGCCGACAGGGAGAGAGGGUUAAUUCAUUCCCACUCCUUGGCUUUAGCAGGUCCUUUAAUUCCACUGCUAAUGCUGUUAAUGCUGUCUCUGAGCUGGUAAAGUUUUUAUUUUUACUCUUCCAUAUUAUUUUCAAUAAUUAACUUCCUCACACAGCCUAUAUGGUAUUAUCGGGUCGUCAGUUCUCGUGAACUCCUCCAUUAUGCACAGGUGGAGUUCAUCAUUUUUACGCAGGUAAUUUACACAGAAAUCUAAAGUUAGGUAUUAGGUAGUGUUCGCUGAAUCUGACGUGGCACACUCGUAUGAGACCACCAUAUAACGACAAGAAAGAGAAAGUUAAGAUGAGAAUACACAAUGCAUAAUAAUAACAUUAAUAAUAUAUAAUAUAAUAUAUAUAUAUAUAUAUAUAUAUAUAUAUAUAUAUACAAGCCAUAACUUUGGUAACACCUGAGGAAGAAUCAUUACCAUCCCAUAAUGUUCUAGUGCCACAGAAACGCUGUUCACUACUCCUGUAAAUAGGAGGAACCUUAGGUACAACUUGACAAUGGGAGAUAUUUCUAGUUCCCUCAGAAUGUCUGUGAAUAGGGCCCCAGGGGCAAAAACCACCAGAUCAGGUGUUGUACCAGCUGAUCUCUGGUUCUCGGGCUUACAAUCAAUAUAAUGUAACUGGCUGAAGAUGGUUGUUAGAGUCCAGAUAAGAUGUUAUCAGAUCAAAGAUUGUUAUAAAAUUACUUUGGUUAAGAUUGUGACUCCUUUGUCACUGGUAUAGUGACAUCGACAGGUGGAGGUGGAGGUGUCUUUUAGAAAGGUCUUAAGAGACACAGAAGCUGCUUGGAAAUAUUUAUAUGCCUCAGUGUUGAUUUUGUUUUUACAUUAUUAUGGAUGUGAAAUGAACUGUAAUAGUACUUUUGUCUUGCCAAAGGAUGUUUCAUUUCUACGUGUCAAUAUAAUGAGGAAAUCUCUGAUUCAAUGCUGAAGUUUUAUGAUAUAGUUUAUUUUUGAGCUACUGAUGAGAUGUGUUCUCUCACUCUGUUGUCGACAGUCAGACAUUUUACAGUGGAUGAAUGUCUGUUUGUCCAUGUAGGCUUGCACUAGUUUCUUUUACACUGAAACAACAAAGCUGUUUUUUUCUGAAGAACAUUUGUGAGAAAUGAAAUGGUUAGUUGAAGCUAAAGGAAGAGUUCAAUGUUUGUUAUGAUUUUUUGUUUCAUCGAUAUUUAUUUUAUGCAUUCUAAUGCGAUGCCUACAAAUGUAUAGUCACAAUUGUUACAGUUUUGCCAAUUGCUAAAACACAAUUUUGCAAACUAGGCUGGUUUUAUCAAAAUACUUAACACAAUUCACAAAACCACCCAAAAUACCUCAUAUAUCCUGCAAAAUGAAGCACUGCAACCAAAACUACAUAUAGCAUUAUCA
rnacentral:lncRNA from 15 species